rnacentral:rRNA from 1 species
GCAGGAGCUUGCUCUUGUGGAUCAGUGGCGAACGGGUGAGUAACACGUGAGCAACCUGCCCCUGACUCUGGGAUAAGCGCUGGAAACGGUGUCUAAUACUGGAUAUGUGACGUGACCGCAUGGUCUGCGUUUGGAAAGAUUUUUCGGUUGGGGAUGGGCUCGCGGCCUAUCAGCUUGUUGGUGAGGUAAUGGCUCACCAAGGCGUCGACGGGUAGCCGGCCUGAGAGGGUGACCGGCCACACUGGGACUGAGACACGGCCCAGACUCCUACGGGAGGCAGCAGUGGGGAAUAUUGCACAAUGGGCGGAAGCCUGAUGCAGCAACGCCGCGUGAGGGAUGACGGCCUUCGGGUUGUAAACCUCUUUUAGCAGGGAAGAAGCGAGAGUGACGGUACCUGCAGAAAAAGCGCCGGCUAACUACGUGCCAGCAGCCGCGGUAAUACGUAGGGCGCAAGCGUUAUCCGGAAUUAUUGGGCGUAAAGAGCUCGUAGGCGGUUUGUCACGUCUGCUGUGAAAUCCCGAGGCUCAACCUCGGGCCUGCAGUGGGUACGGGCAGACUAGAGUGCGGUAGGGGAGAUUGGAAUUCCUGGUGUAGCGGUGGAAUGCGCAGAUAUCAGGAGGAACACCGAUGGCGAAGGCAGAUCUCUGGGCCGUAACUGACGCUGAGGAGCGAAAGGGUGGGGAGCAAACAGGCUUAGAUACCCUGGUAGUCCACCCCGUAAACGUUGGGAACUAGUUGUGGGGUCCAUUCCACGGAUUCCGUGACGCAGCUAACGCAUUAAGUUCCCCGCCUGGGGAGUACGGCCGCAAGGCUAAACUCAAAGGAAUUGACGGGGACCCGCACAAGCGGCGGAGCAUGCG